UACGAAGGGGGCUAGCGUUGCUCGGAAUCACUGGGCGUAAAGGGUGCGUAGGCGGGUCUUUAAGUCAGAGGUGAAAUCCUGGAGCUCAACUCCAGAACUGCCUUUGAUACUGAGGAUCUUGAGUUCGGGAGAGGUGAGUGGAACUGCGAGUGUAGAGGUGAAAUUCGUAGAUAUUCGCAAGAACACCAGUGGCGAAGGCGGCUUACUGGUCCGGUUCUGACGCUGAGGCGCGAAAGCGUGGGGAGCAAACAGG
rnacentral:rRNA from 1 species